rnacentral:rRNA from 1 species
AUUGAACGCUGGCGGCAGGCUUAACACAUGCAAGUCGAACGAGUGGCGGACGGGUGAGUAAUGUAUGGGAAACUGCCCGAUGGCGGGGGAUAACUACUGGAAACGGUAGCUAAUACCGCAUAACAUCGGAGGUGCCCAGAUGGGAUUAUCUCGUAGGUGGGGUAACGGCUCACCUAGGCGACGAUCCCUAGCUGGUCUGAGAGGAUGACCAGCCACACUGGGACUUGGACACGGCCCAGACUCCUACGGGAUGCAGCAGUGGGGAAUAUUGCACAAUGGGCGAAACCCUGAUGCAGCCAUCCCGCGUGUAUGAAGAAGGCCUUCGGGUUGUAAAGUACUUUCAGCAGGGAAGCGGUACUCGCAGAAUAAGCACCGGCUAACUCCGUGCCAGCCGCCGCGGUAAUAC